rnacentral:rRNA from 1 species
AUUGAACGCUGGCGGCAUGCCUUACACAUGCAAGUCGAACGGCAGCACGGGAGCAAUCCUGGUGGCGAGUGGCGAACGGGUGAGUAAUAUAUCGGAACGUGCCCAGUAGUGGGGGAUAACUACUCGAAAGAGUGGCUAAUACCGCAUACGACCUGAGGGUGAAAGCGGGGGAUCGCAAGACCUCGCGCUAUUGGAGCGGCCGAUAUCAGAUUAGCUAGUUGGUGGGGUAAAGGCCUACCAAGGCAACGAUUUGUAGUUGGUCUGAGAGGACGACCAGCCACACUGGGACUGAGACACGGCCCAGACUCCUACGGGAGGCAGCAGUGGGGAAUUUUGGACAAUGGGCGCAAGCCUGAUCCAGCAAUGCCGCGUGCAGGAAGAAGGCCUUCGGGUUGUAAAUUGCUUUUGUCAGGGAAGAAAUCCUCUAGGUUAAUACCCUUGGGGGGAUGACGGUACCUGAAGAAUAAGCACCGGCUAACUACGUGCCAGCCGCCGCAGUAAAAC